rnacentral:rRNA from 1 species
AAUAUUGGACAAUGGGGGAAACCCUGAUCCAGCCAUCCCGCGUGUAUGAUGAAGGCCUUCGGGUUGUAAGUACUUUUGGCAGAGAAGAAAAGGUACCUCCUUAUACGAGGUACUGCUGACGGUAUCUUCCGAAUAAGCCACCGCCAACUACGUUCCAGCAGCCGCGGUAAUACGUAGGGUUCAAGCGUUAAUCGGAAUUACUGGGCGGAAAGCGUGUGUAGGCGGUUCGGAAAGAAAGAUGUGAAAUCCCAGGGCUCAACCUUGGAACUGCAUUUUUAACUGCCGAGCUAGAGUAUGUCAGAGGGGGGUAGAAUUCCACGUGUAGCAGUGAAAUGCGUAGAUAUGUGGAGGAAUACCGAUGGCGAAGGCAGCCCCCUGGGAUAAUACUGACGCUCAGACACGAAAGCGUGGGGAGCAAAC